GGGAGGAAUAUUGCGCAAUGGGCGAAAGCCAGACGCAGCAACGCCGCGUGAGCGAAGAAGGCCUUCGGGUCGUAAAGCUCUUUUCCGAGGGAUGAGAGCGGACAGUACCUCGGGAAUAAGUCUCGGCUAACUACGUGCCAGCAGCCGCGGUAAAACGUAGGAGGCGAGCGUUAUCCGGAUUCACUGGGCGUAAAGGGCAAGUAGGCGGUGGUCCAAGUUGGGCGUGACAGGUCCCGGCUUAACUGGGAAGGGUCGUCCAAGACUGGGCUGCUAGGGGGCAGGAGAGGAGAGCGGAAUUCCUAGUGUAGCGGUGGAAUGCUCAGAGAUUAGGAGGAACACCAGUGGCGAAAGCGGCUCUCUGGUCUGUACCCGACGCUGAGGGGCGAAAGCUAGGGGAGCGAACGGGCUUAGAAACCCCUGUAGUCC
rnacentral:rRNA from 1 species